GUUCUGAUGAAGAGUCCAAAACUAGGACGAAACAGCUGUCUAGUAC
rfam:Trichobilharzia regenti genome assembly, scaffold: TRE_scaffold0000543